ensembl:antisense Gm13274 predicted gene 13274
GGGAACUGGCUGGCACACAGUGGAUCUCUUCCUUAGCUACCUCCUGGUAAUUCCCGGGAAUAUGUCUUCACACCUAGAAGUCAGACCACCCUGGGUUGCUGAGAUGCAGGAGCUCGCCCAGCAGCUUCACAGUGUCCAGGGGCUUUUUCUAGAAAAAAAAUGUUGUGACUGAACCUCCAUUGUAUUUGCUUUUAUUUGUAGCACACAUAUGUAUAGCACCUAAAACAUGAUGCUAGAAAUAAACAUCUGUAUUAGAAACUUCUAAA